AUUGAACGCUGGCGGCAGGCCUAACACAUUCAAGUCGAACGAGUGGCGGACGGGUGAGUAAUGUCUGGGAAACUGCCUGAUGGAGGGGGAUAACUACUUGAAACGGUAGCUAAUACCGCAUACCCUCGGAUGUGCCCAGAUGGGAUUAGCUAGUAGGUGGGGUAAAGGCUCACCUAGGCGACGAUCUCUAGCUGGUCGGAGAGGAUGACCAUCCACGCUGGAACUGAGACACUGUCCAGAUGCCUACGGGAGGCAGCAUUGGGGAAUAUUGCACAAUGGGAGCAAUCCUGAUGCAGCCAUGCCGCGUGUAUGAAGAAGGCCUUCGGGUUGUAAAGUACUUUCAGCUGGGAGGCGUUACCCGCAGAAGAAGCACCGGCUAACUCCGUGCCAGCAGCCGCGGUAAUAC
rnacentral:rRNA from 1 species